GAUGAACGCUGGCGGCGUGCCUAAUACAUGCAAGUCGAGCGAAUGGAUUGAGAGCUUGCUCUUAUGAAGUUAGCGGCGGACGGGUGAGUAACACGUGGGUAACCUGCCCAUAAGACUGGGAUAACUCCGGGAAACCGGGGCUAAUACCGGAUAACAUUUUGAACCGCAUGGUUCGAAAUUGAAAGGCGGCUUCGGCUGUCACUUAUGGAUGGACCCGCGUCGCAUUAGCUAGUUGGUGAGGUAACGGCUCACCAAGGCAACGAUGCGUAGCCGACCUGAGAGGGUGAUCGGCCACACUGGGACUGAGACACGGCCCAAACUCCUACGGGAGGCAGCAGUAGGGAAUCUUCCGCAAUGGACGAAAGCCUGACGGAGCAACGCCGCGUGAGUGAUGAAGGCUUUCGGGUCGUAAAACUCUGUUGUUAGGGAAGAACAAGUGCUAGUUGAAUAAGCUGGCACCUUGACGGUACCUAACCAGAAAGCCACGGCUAACUACGUGCCAGCCGCCGCGGUAA
rnacentral:rRNA from 1 species